GAGGCUAAGCUAAAAGAGGCUCCCCCAUCGCAGAGGUGACGAAUACUUUGACAGCAGAUGCUCGGUAAAAAGGCAACACAUUGCUCCUGAUAGAGACUCUUGUGUGGACCUGACUGCAGCAGGGAACUUGUUGUGUGUUUGUGACUGUCAUGUGAAGUGUCAGUCUGUAACAUGACUCAGAGCGUCACAGGCGGAAGGUCACGGAGCAGCAGAACGGAACGGAAGCGGGAGUAAAAAGCCUGUCCGCCAUUGUGGAAAAUGACACAAAGUCGCCGUUUGUAACAACCAGAAGCAGCGGAUCGUCGACAGGUCUGACUUACGGGGAAACCGCCGCCUUGUAACCGUCACAGAGUGAUUGGACAGCCCGAGAGACGAGCCAGGAAAGCACCGAAGUGCAGAGAGAGGCAGGGGGAAGCCGUGGACAGUCUCACACACACAGCUCUCCGUCUCUGUUCCUGGAGGAUGUCUGCGACCACAGUCGAUCAGAGACCUAAAGGACAAGGAAAUAAAGUGCAAAACGGAUCAAUGCAUCAAAAGGAUGGUGUGAAUGAUGAUGAUUUUGAGCCUUAUCUAAGCGGCCAGACAAAUCAG